rnacentral:lncRNA from 1 species
AAGUUUAUUUUAAUCACACGCGCACUAGGACGAUUUAGAAGAAUGCAGAAUGUUUAGAAGAAUGCAGAAUGUUUAGAAGAAUGGGUUUAUUUUAUUGUUGGAUUGGUCUUGAUUUGCAACAUGUAUUUUGCCGAGAAAUACCCCGUGACAUAUGACCAAUUUAAGGAAAUAUUCUACUUUGGAAAAAAUAACGAGAGAAAUGAAUACUGUCAGAUUGUGAACUGAAUUUAUAAGCUUUAUAGUUUAUGAAAGGAAACACAAGAAUGUUUAAAUUUCCGAAUCAUUACAAAUUUUUGCAAUUUAGUUACAAAUCGUUACAAGAAAAGAACAGCUUUUAAUAGUAAGUCAUCAUGAAGGAGAUAUGAAGUCAACAAAAGGGUUAUUAAAGAACUUUUCUUUUGUUAGAAAGAAGAUAACUUAGCCGGUGAUCCAACACAUUUUGCUUUAUAAAAAUGAACAGUUAAAAAAAGAAAACUAUGUCUAUUUUUGCUUUUCUGUACUGAUACCAGAAAUAAAUAAAAAUGUCUUCAACC